rnacentral:tRNA from 1 species
GCCAUCGUAGCUUAAAUUUAAAGCAUAACACUGAAGAUGUUAAUAUGGAGAUUAAACCUCCCCCGAAGACA